GAGCAUGUGUCUGAGGAGCAUCCAUUAUACGAGAGGAGAACUUCACUAUCCAUCGACAAACUAAAGUGUGGAGACAUUUCACUGACACUCUCCAAAGUGAAACUCUCUGAUGCAGGAACCUACAAAUGCCUUGUUCCCCCAGAUCGUCCGGAAUCUGCGGUUGAGCUCACUGUGGGUUCAGUCUCCUCACCUGAAAUAGACAUUUCCAAAGUCAGCAAUGGAGUGCUGUUAGAGUGUAAAUCUAAAGGCUGGUAUCCAGAGCCUGAGGUGGUCUGGCUGGACGGUGAGGGAAACGUCCUCUCUGCUGGACCUACAGAGACAGUCAGAGGUCCUGAUGACCUCUAUACUGUCAGCAGCAGAGUGACUGUGGAGAAGAGACACAGCAACAUCUUCACCUGUAGAGUCCAACAGAAGGACAUCAACCAGACCAGAGAGACACACAUCCAACUUCCAGGUAGAGUUUUUGUUGUUAUCACUUUGUUAGUUACAGACUGUUGAAGUCUAGUGUUAUUAAACAUCUGUUAUGUGUUUUAUCAUUUCAGCUGAUCUCUUUAUGGUCCAGUCUAGUUCUGCUGUUCGCAUCACCAUCUGCUUGGCUGUGUGCUUCAUCGCUGUUGUUGCAGUUUUCUUCGUUGUGUGGAAAUGGGGACGAAAUGAAAUCAAAACCACAAACAGCAGCAGUGAACUUCAGCUUCUGAUGGAUGGAGAAAGACACAAAGAGCAGCGCAUGACAGAAAGUGAGAAAAUGAAGUAUUUGGAACAGACAAAAGCAAAACUUGAAGAGGAGUUACAGAAGAAUGAGGGGGAAAUGCAGCAUGUACAACAGGAGAUUACAGCACUGAUGGACCAGAAGAAGGUUCUGAAAAACCAGAAAGAGAAACUCAUCUUACUACAGCAGGAGGAUAAGACUCAGAUAGAGGAGUGCAAGAAAAUGAACCCUCCAACAACAGAUAAAGAUAAAAAAAUGAAGAAGCGUGAAAAGACCCUACAGGAUCUGGAGAGGAGAAAGAGAGAACAUGAGGAACUGUUGAAGAACACAGAGACACUACUGGAAACAACAGAAUCUAUGAUUCUUGGAAUGACAGCAAGGAAGACAAACCUAGAGAGAGAUAAGGAGCAAAUAAAUAAAAACCUUAAAGAGACAGAGAGACAGAGAGAAAAGAGUGAGAGGAAACUUCAGUCAGAGCAGUCAGAGAGAGAAAAGGAAAAGCCAUCAUCCAAAGAUCUUAGUGAGGUUGUUCUUGAUGAAUCAAACAAUUUGUGAACAUUUAGAAAAUCUGUUGUAAUUUCUGACCCCUAGUGUCACCUGUUUAGGUCUGUUUAAUCCAUUGAUUCUAUAUGAUUGGUUUACUGGAUAAUUAGUUCAAAUCAAAGCAAUCUACCUGGUUCACACUAGAUGUUAAGUUUUGUCAGUUUAUUCUUUUCCAUUUUUUUAAUAUCAUUUUAAUAUUGCCGGUUUUUAAUAUAUUGUGUUGUAAUAUUAUUGUAUUGUAUUUGUUGUAAGUUCAUAUGAGCCUAUCCUUCACUAACAACAUUCUGAAUACGUUAUGGUACUUUAUAUAAGCAUUCCCAAAGAGUUUUUAUUUUAUUAAUUAUUUAAUUUUUAAUUAAUUAUUAAGACAAGUAUUUCACUCCAAAUGCUCAUAGUUCAAAAAGGAGAAGAUGUGUGCCCUCUGGUGGUGAGAUCAGCUCAAAGUUGAGAUCAUUGGAAAACAGAUGACCUGCAGAAUAUUCAGUCCAUCAGCGGUUUCCUCCAGAAAACCAUAACAAAAACGUGCAG
rnacentral:lncRNA from 15 species